GUCAACCUCACUGGAGAGCGGCACGCGCAUUGGCGUCGUGCCCACCGAAGGGGCAAGCCGCGGCGCCGAUGACGCCCGGUCAAUCUCUCAGGUACCAAGGACAGCGGGGCGUCG
rnacentral:ncRNA from 1 species